rnacentral:rRNA from 1 species
AUGUUGCAGGAGGAUGGGGGUAUUGAUGAAGAUGUGAACCAUCGAAUCAAAGCCGGAUGGACGAAGUGGCACCAAGCUUUUGGAAUUCGCUGUGACAAGAGAGUGCCACAAAAGCUAAAAGGCAAGUUCUACAGGACGACGGUUCGACCCGCAAUGUUGUAUGGCGCUGAGUGCUGGCUGACUAAAAGGCGACAUGUUCAACAGCUAGGGGUGGCGGAGAUGCGUAUGUUGAGAUGGAUGUGUGGCCACACGAGGAAGGAUCGAGUCCGGAAUAAUGAUAUACGAGAUAGAGUUGGGGUAGCACCAAUUGAAGAGAAGCUUGUCCAACAUCGUCUGAGAUGGUUUGGGCAUAUUCAGUGCAGGCCUCCAGAAGCUCCAGUGCAUAGCGGACGACUAAAGCGUGCGCAAAAUGUCAAGAGAGGGCGGGGUAAACCGAAUUUGACAUGGGAGGAGUCCGUUAAGAGAGCCCUGAAGGAUUGGAGUAUCACCAAAGAACUAGCUAUGGACAAGGGUGCGUGGAAGCUUGCUAUCCAUGUGCCAGAGUGUUAUGACCGGGGUAACUUAUACCCGGAGGAGGCCCACUGGGCAGGUUUAGUUAGGGGCUUAGCCCAAAAGUUAACUUAUUUUUAUUAG